UUGACCUCGGAUCAGGUAGGGAUACCCGCUGAACUUAAGCAUAUCAUAAACCCGAAGAAAA
rnacentral:rRNA from 1 species